UCGAGCGAGAACCAGGCCUUCGGGCCUGGGGAAAGCGGCGAACGGGUGAGUAACACGUGGGUAACCCACCCUUGGUACUGGGAUAGCCCGGGGAAACCCGGAUUAAUACCGGAUGGCCUAACAGCUCUUCGGGGCGGUUGGAAAAGGUAGCCUCGGCCUCCGACCAAGGACGGGCCCGCGGCGGAUUAGCUUGUUGGCGGGGUAACGGCCCACCAAGACGACGAUCCGUAGCUGGUCUGAGAGGACGAUCAGCCACACUGGGACUGAGACACGGCCCAGACUCCUACGGGAGGCAGCAGUGGGGAAUCUUGCGCAAUGGGCGAAAGCCUGACGCAGCGACGCCGCGUGGGGGAAGAAGGCUUUCGGGUUGUAAACCCCUUUCAGGAAGGACGAAGCCACUCGGGUGAACAGCCCAGAGGGUGACGGUACUUCCAGAAGAAGCCCCGGCUAACUACGUGCCAGCAGCCGCGGUAAUACGUAGGGGGCAAGCGUUGUCCGGAUUUAUUGGGCGUAAAGAGCGUGUAGGCGGUUUGGUAGGUCCGCUGUGAAAACUCGAGGCUCAACCUCGAGACGCCGGUGGAAACCAUCAGACUAGAGUCCGGAAGAGGAGAGUGGAAUUCCUGGUGUAGCGGUGAAAUGCGCAGAUAUCAGGAAGAACACCCGUGGCUAAGGCGGCUCUCUAGUACGGUACUGACGCUGAGACGCGAAAGCGUGGGGAGCGAACAGGAUUAGAUACCCUGGUAGUCCACGCCGUA
rnacentral:rRNA from 1 species